rnacentral:rRNA from 1 species
AUGGCGGAUGCAUGGAGCAAGUUCAUGCAACCAGAUGAAGAUACGCCUUUUGGACGUCACUUGAAGGAAGUCACUAAGUACUUGAACAUAGGAAUACCAAGCAUCACCGGAACCUACAACGCCACCUUACCUGAAGAGGAGAGCUGGAAGAUUCAAGUUCAAGUCCCAGGAAGGACGUUUGCGCCAGUUACUGAACCUAUAAGAUUGGCUGUUGAAGCACCAACCUGGAGUUUAGGGAAGAGCAUGGCAGCCCACAUCGCUAUGGGACGCAUUGGAGAAGUCUACCACAGGGAGCUUAAGGAUACUAUUUAUCAGAUUUGUGGACGCCGAGACGAGCAAUGGGAGAUGAUCAGCACCAAGAAGGAUGGAUCAAUUGCAGCUUUCAUCCAGGAGCAAAACCAACACAUUCGUCGCCAGGAGAACCAGAUGUGCUCAGACAAGAUAGAUCUGAAGAAGGCGUUGACGAAGAUCAAGGAGCUGGAGGAAGAACUCAAGGCUACACGCGAGGAUUAUCUGGAGGAAAUCAUCGCACUAGUAGGGAAGAAUGACGACCUGGAGAAGAAGAUUGGAGUAUUCAUGGGAAAUCCAGUGUCAAAAGCAGAAGAUGCCGAAUGCGCUUGCCCGGAUAACUACAUCAUCAUUGACGACACAGACUCGGACCCCAGUGAAGAUGACUUUGUUGAUGAAGCAGGAGCAGAUAUCAUGGAGUCUUCAACUGAGCAAAAUUUCUAG